rnacentral:rRNA from 1 species
GAUGAACACUAGCUACAGGCUUAACACAUGCAAGUCGAGGGGUAACGAGAGGAAAGCUUGCUUUCCUUGUCGACGACCGGCGCACGGGUGAGUAACGCGUAUCCAACCUGCCCCCAACUAGGGAAUAACCUUGCGAAAGUAAGACUAAUACCCUAUAAUUUCCUCAGAUGCCAUCUGACGAGGAAUAAAGAUUUAUCGGUUGUGGAUGGGGAUGCGUCUGAUUAGCUUGUUGGCGGGGUAACGGCCCACCAAGGCAACGAUCAGUAGGGGUUCUGAGAGGAAGGUCCCCCACAUUGGAACUGAGACACGGGCCAAACUCCUACGGGAGGCAGCAGUGAGGAAUAUUGGUCAAUGGGCGGAAGCCUGAACCAGCCAAGUAGCGUGCAGGAUGACGGCCCUAUGGGUUGUAAACUGCUUUUAUACAGGAAUAAAGUUAGCCACGUGUGGUUAUUUGUAGGUACUGUAUGAAUAAGGACCGGCUAAUUCCGUGCCAGCCGCCGCGGUAA